GUCCUAGCCGUAAACGGUGCUUGCUUGCUGUAAGAGGAAUCCACCCCUUUUGUGGCGAAGCUAACGCGAUAAGCAAGCCGCCUGGGAAGUACGGUCGCAAGAUUAAAACUCAAAGAAAUUGACGGGGGCCUGCACAAGCGGUGGAGUAUGUGGCUUAAUUCGAUGCAACGCGAAGAACCUUACCUGGCCUUGACAUGCACAUAGUAGAAGCCUGAAAGGGUGACGAGGUAGCAAUACCAGUGUGCACAGGUGCUGCAUGGCUGUCGU
rnacentral:rRNA from 1 species